rnacentral:rRNA from 1 species
GAUGAACGCUGGCGGCGUGCCUAAUACAUGCAAGUCGAGCGAACGGACGAGAAGCUUGCUUCUCUGAUGUUAGCGGCGGACGGGUGAGUAACACGUGGAUAACCUACCUAUAAGACUGGGAUAACUUCGGGAAACCGGAGCUAAUACCGGAUAAUAUUUUGAACCGCAUGGUUCAAAAGUGAAAGACGGUCUUGCUGUCACUUAUAGAUGGAUCCGCGCUGCAUUAGCUAGUUGGUAAGGUAACGGCUUACCAAGGCAACGAUGCAUAGCCGACCUGAGAGGGUGAUCGGCCACACUGGAACUGAGACACGGUCCAGACUCCUACGGGAGGCAGCAGCAGGGAAUCUUCCGCAAUGGGCGAAAGCCUGACGGAGCAACGCCGCGUGAGUGAUGAAGGUCUUCGGAUCGUAAAACUCUGUUAUUAGGGAAGAACAUAUGUGUAAGUAACUGUGCACAUCUUGACGGUACCUAAUCAGAAAGCCACGGCUAACUACGUGCCAGCAGCCGCGGUAAUACGUAGGUGGCAAGCGUUAUCCGGAAUUAUUGGGCGUAAAGCGCGCGUAGGCGGUUUUUUAAGUCUGAUGUGAAAGCCCACGGCUCAACCGUGGAGGGUCAUUGGAAACUGGAAAACUUGAGUGCAGAAGAGGAAAGUGGAAUUCCAUGUGUAGCGGUGAAAUGCGCAGAGAUAUGGAGGAACACCAGUGGCGAAGGCGACUUUCUGGUCUGUAACUGACGCUGAUGUGCGAAAGCGUGGGGAUCAAACAGGAUUAGAUACCCUGGUAGUCCACGCCGUAAACGAUGAGUGCUAAGUGUUAGGGGGUUUCCGCCCCUUAGUGCUGCAGCUAACGCAUUAAGCACUCCGCCUGGGGAGUACGACCGCAAGGUUGAAACUCAAAGGAAUUGACGGGGACCCGCACAAGCGGUGGAGCAUGUGGUUUAAUUCGAAGCAACGCGAAGAACCUUACCAAAUCUUGACAUCCUUUGACAACUCUAGAGAUAGAGCUUUCCCCUUCGGGGGACAAAGUGACAGGUGGUGCAUGGUUGUCGUCAGCUCGUGUCGUGAGAUGUUGGGUUAAGUCCCGCAACGAGCGCAACCCUUAAGCUUAGUUGCCAUCAUUAAGUUGGGCACUCUAAGUUGACUGCCGGUGACAAACCGGAGGAAGGUGGGGAUGACGUCAAAUCAUCAUGCCCCUUAUGAUUUGGGCUACACACGUGCUACAAUGGACAAUACAAAGGGCAGCGAAACCGUGAGGUCAAGCAAAUCCCAUAAAGUUGUUCUCAGUUCGGAUUGUAGUCUGCAACUCGACUACAUGAAGCUGGAAUCGCUAGUAAUCGUAGAUCAGCAUGCUACGGUGAAUACGUUCCCGGGUCU